AUAGAGACUCAGAGCUGCAUAUCAAUAAGCGGAGGAAAAGAAACUAACAAGGAUUCCCCUAGUAACGGCGAGUGAAGCGGGAAGAGCUCAAAUUUGAAAUCUUAAAGGGUUUCCCUUUACGAAUUGUAGUUUAAUAGAAGUGUUUUCUGUUAGUGGAGUCGGCUAAAAGUUCUUUGGAAUAGGACAUCAUAGAGGGCGAGAAUCCCGUAUUUGUACAGUUCCUCCUAGCUGUUGUGAUACACUUUCAACGAGUCGGAUUGUUUGGGAAUGCAGUCCAAAAUGGGUGGUAAAUUUCAUCUAAAGCUAAAUAUUGGCGAGAGACCGAUAGCGAACAAGUACCGUGAGGGAAAGAUGAAAAGAACUUUGAAAAGAGAGUUAAACAGUACGUGAAAUUGUCAAAAGGGGAGCGUUUGACACCAGUGUUGUUUUUCUGAAAAUCAAUUAAAGAACUGUUUAUGCUAAGCUGUUUAGACUUUAUCAGCUAACUGUUUAGUUUUGAGCUUUUCUUUAAUGCACCUUUCAGUUAACAAGUCAACAUCAAUUUCUUUUGCUGUAAAAAAGCUUGAGGAAGGUGGCUUGAGAUUCGUCUUAAGUGUUUAUGGCCUCUUGCCUAUGCAGUCGGAGAGAUUGAGGUCUGCAGCGUAGACUCCUUCGGGGCUAGAUACAUUUGUGCUAAGUUAUAGCAUUUUAUAGACAACUUGUUGACUAUGAUUUAGUCUUGUAACUUACUCGCUUAUGUUAUUUUACCUACGCUUAGGAUGUUGAACUCUAUCACACACAG
rnacentral:rRNA from 1 species